AUUUCAAUUCUUCGAAUAAUAGCGCUAGUCUCUUCUCUUCUUCAUCUUCUGAUGAUUUUUUUGCGAGUAAUUUCAUUAUGUAUGAUACGGAGGAUGAUGAUGGUGAUAAUGAUGAUGGAGCGUACAUUGAAAUAAACCUUGAUCCACCGCGGUUUAUACAAAAAAAGGUUAGAGAGGAGAAGGAAUUUAAGAAUUCUAAUUCUUCAGAGGUGGAGUUAAGAAUAUCUUUUUCAUCAACCGGAAUUCCCCCAACUGAAACGACGACGACAACAACAUGUGGUACCACACAACAUGCACAGGGAACAACAACAACAACAACAACGACGACGAUGAGUAAGCCAAGGAGGGGGCGCCUUUUCGUAUCGUUGGCUCGCAUUGUAAAUGAGUUUGUAGCUGCAUCGUCUGUCAAGACAUCGAAUUCAGUUAAAGCAAUAGAAGCUAAUAAUAAUGUUGCCCAUGAAAAUGGACCUGCUCAUGUUCUGCCCCUCUCUAAAUCUGACUGCGCGGAGAUGAUACGGACCAGGUAAAUCUUUUUGGAGUUUAUAGUAACAUAUUAGUGCAUGAUUAGGGUGGUGGCUCAAUAGAAUUGGUGACCCAAAAUCAAUCUAUCAUAGUUAAAAAGAUAAAAAUAAAUGGACAUCAUCAUCCCCAUACGCAGGAUUCUCAUUAAGGGGUGUCAAUGGUUACAGUAAAAAAUAAAAAAUAAAUGGACAUCAUCCCCAGACCAUGAUUUUCAUUAAGAUCAUUAAGGGGUGUCAAUGGUUACAGUAAAAAAUAAAAAAUAAAUGGACAUGACCCCAUAGAGUUUUUGCAACACCUUAACUAAUAGACUAAACCUUCAACUUAUUUUAAGAGGUGUCAAUUUAUGUAUUUAUAUUUAUUAAACUAAAAUUUGACCUCUAUAUACAACGUAAUUUUCCUACGAAGGGGUGUCACUCGACACCCCCUAGACCAAGGGUAGGUCCUCCCCUGAUCAUCCCGUUUAAAUAGAGAUUCCGAGUUGGAAUCUUAAAAUAAAAACAAUCUUUUGUCUCUUUAAUAGGUCUUGCCUGUCUCAAAAUCGAAAAAAUCAUUAUAGAUACUAAAUACCAGAUGAAAAAAAUUGAGGCCCGCAAAAUUUGGAGUCUAAAGUCCUUGCUUUAGUGGCUUGACCUUCUGGCCGGCCUAUAUUAUUGUUUUUUUUUUUACAAGUUCAAAAUUUCAUAUUUAAUAAGGUUUAUGUAUGAAUAUUUUUUGAAAUAAUUUAGUGAUACAAGAUAUUAUUUAUAAUAAUAUAUAAAAUUUAAACUUUUUAUAAUAACCCUGUCAAAAUUGUGCUGCUUCUGUAUUCAAACAUUUUUAAAAAAAUGGUCAAUGGCCUGUUGCCUUAAUAAACAAGUUUUGACGAGUAGGGGCCGUUGGGAAAAAGGGGAGAACGUGGGGCGGCAGAGGAGAAUAAAAUGGAAAGUAAACCAAAGACUAGAAAUUAGGACACGUAAAUUAAAUGAAUUCAUAUUAAAACUUACAUAUAUAACUUCUAUUUAUAAAUAUAUAAUUGUCAACUUUACUUUUUAGUCAACUUUAAAACGUAUACUUUUCUAUAUUUAAGAUUUUUUUAAAUUCUUAGUCCCAACGUUUUAUAGUCAUAAAAAUGCCAUAGCAUGCAUAGUUGUAUAAAAACUGUUAAAAGUUAAAUUCAUAUAACUUAAAUUCUGGAUUCAUCUUGCCUUUGAUUCUAUGGUUAAUUUGUAUAUGUAUUAUAUUUUCUUUAUUGAACUUCAUGUCCAAUCAAAUUUUAUCGUAUAAAAAUAAGUCGAUAAUAAAGUAUAAGAUUACAACUUAUUGUAAACGGUAUGUUUUUAAUUGAAUAUUAUGUCCAGUCAAAUGUUGUCGUACAAAUGUAAGUCGAUGAUAGAGAAUAAGAAUACUACUUAUUGUAAAUGGGGAAGAUUACUAAAGGCAAAUUUGUUCAAUUUUCCGUAGUUGAAAGGCAGAUUUGAGUCAUUUUACUAACGAUAAGAACAUAGUUAGAACCAAAUUCAAAUGAAGGGCAAAGUAACUCUAUUUAAUUCCCAUCGUUAAAAAGCAUUUUCCCUACUUUCAUUAUGUGUUAAUUAUGUUACAUUAUUUUUACAGGAAAGAUUGCACGAUGGUUCCUUCAAAGAACAAUGGCAUUAUGAACUUUAUAGUAAAAUUGAAGUAUAAAAAUAUUCCAUCAAUGUUAAUUUCCAUGGUUACACUCAAACCCAAAAACGGACAAAUCCGCGCCAGACAACCCUUGCUACAACGAGGGCGCAGUAGCACCUGCCGGGGCAGGGAUCCAAUGAACAACAACAACAACGAUCUGAUGAAACUAAAAACUUGCAAUCACUCAGAUCUUAAUCAUCAAGAUGUCAACCACGAAAAAUCAACAUCAUCAUCAGUCGCGGGGAUAAUAAACUUUAAAACAAUGAGAGGAGUAUUAGACGCUCUUAUUGUCAAAACUAGUCGUUAUUGCACGAGUGCAACAACAGGAGGGGGAUUAUUAUCUGGCAAUAAGCACAAUAGCAGUAAAAGUUGUCCGAGUUCUAUCAAGUCGUCACCAAUGCAUAGCAAUGUCAGUGAAGAAGACGUUAGAAAAUUUUACUCGAGGGAUAAUUCUGUUCAGGCAGCCAUUGCUCAUUGUAAGAAAUCAUUUGGAACACAAGCUGAAUUUGAUUUUCAUAUUUGACAGUGUUCUCGAUCUUAAUUGAGAUGAUUUUUGUAUAUAUAUAAUAAAAGGUUGAGUAAAGGUCCAUAUUGGCCAAUGAAUGUCGAGCUAUUGCAAUUCUUUUUCUGUGGUACGUGAUUGGGUUCAGAACAUUGUAAGUAAACUGAAUUUGGAACAUAUGUUCUACAUAUCAUAAAUUAAAGUACAAACCCCAAUCAUGUUAUGAUGAUAACGUUCCCAAGAGUAUCCUAGUUGUUGACCCCUCGCAACUGAGUAAGCAAUUGAUCGCAAAUACCAACGGGCAGAUUCUAGACAUUAGGCCCAGUUCUUGAAAUCGGCCUAAUGUCUAGAAUCUUCCCGUCGGUAUUUGCGAUCAAUUGCCUACUCAGUUGCGGGGGAUCAACAUGUAGAAUACCUUUAGGAAUGUUAUCAUCAUAACAUGAUUGAGGUUUUUUUUUUAAAUUUACGAUAUAUAGCAUAUAUGUUAUGAUGACAACAUUCCCAAGGGUAUCCUACUUGUUGACCCCUCGCAACUGAGUAGGCAAUUGAUCGCAAAUACCAACGGGCAGAUUCUAGAUAUUAGGCCGAGUUCUUGAAAUUGGCCUAAUGUCUAGAAUCUGCCCGUUGUGAUUUGCUAUCAAUUUCUUACUCAGUUGUGGGGGGGAUCAACAUGUACAAUACCCUUGGGAAUGUUGUCAUCAUAACAUGAUUGAGGUUUUUUUUUUAUUUACGAUAAAUAGCAUAUAUGUUAUGAUGACAACAUUCCCAAGGGUAUCCUACUUGUUGACCCCUCGCAACUGAGUAGGAAAUUGAUCGCAAAUACCAACGGGCAGAUUCUAGACAUUAGGCAUAGUUCUUGAAAUUGACCUAACGUCUAGAAUCUGCCCCGUUGGUAUUUGCGAUCAAUUGCUUACUCAGUUGCGGGGGGAUCAACAUGUUCUCUUCUUCAUCUUCUGAUAAUUUUUUUGCGAGUAAUUUCAUUAUGUAUGAUACGGAGGAUGAUGAUGGUGAUAAUGAUGAUGGAGCGUACAUUGAAAUAAACCUUGAUCCACCGCGGUCUAUACAAAAAAAGGUUAGAGAGGAGAAGGAAUUUAAGAAUUCUAAUUCUUCAGAGGUGGAGUUGAGGAUAUCUUUUUCAUCAACUGGAAUUCCCCCAACUGAGACGACGACGAC
rnacentral:lncRNA from 1 species